rnacentral:lncRNA from 1 species
CCUGCCUCUAAAAGAGAAGGGAGCUCCCUGCAACUUUGAGCUGUCUGGGCGAAGUGGCGGAGCCACGGCUGCCCGCGCCAGCCGGCUCGGGACUGGGCGUGGGGAACCGGGCUGGCGCGCCAGAGAGCUGCAGAUCCGGCCACCCCUGGGGCUUUGGUUCCGCCUGGGAUUAGCCGCCUGGGCAGCGCCUCGCCCUCCAACCAGAGCAGGGUUUGUGGAGAGCGGCGAGCGAGCCGCGCAUUGCAAUCAGGCAAGCCCAGCUGGGAGCCGAGCCGGCGGCUGCUGCGGGGGGAGCCGUUAGAAACUAGCAAUUCUCCCCUCCCCACGCCCCGAAAACUGCCCCAGCCCCCUUCUCUGCCGGGGGCAGGGCGGAGCGCUGGCACCGAGGCCGCUCUCCGCCCGGAGCAGGAGUUCGCUCUCUCCAGAUGCUGGUUUCUGAAGCGCUUGGCGGGCACCAGGCAGGAGCCUGCAGGCGGCGGCGGCUGUAGCGAUGGGAGCCGGUUGCUGAGGGGCGCCCGGCCGAACAGAGCCCGGGCAGGUGGCACCCGCGGCGGUGACAGCGCCGGGCCGCGGGUGCCCCCUGGGUGCAGUUGCGGCUGGAGGAGCCGGAGGAGGGUCUCGCUUGUCCGUGGCGCCCGGGGAUGGGUCCCCGCCGCGGCUGAAACCCCAGCGCCCGCCCAGCCCCUGUCUCCGCUCCGGCCGGCCGGUGAGCCGGGAGCCGCCUGCCGGCAGCAGCCAUGGCCGCGGCCAUCGCCAGCGGCUUGAUCCGCCAGAAGCGGCAAGCGAGGGAGCAGCACUGGGACCGGCCCUCGGCCAGCAGGAGGCGGAGCAGCCCCAGUAAGAACCGGGGGCUCUGCAAUGGCAACCUGGUGGAUAUUUUCUCCAAGGUCCGCAUCUUCGGGCUGAAGAAGAGAAGGUUGCGGCGCCAAGGUGUGUGUGUGUGUGUGUGUGUCUGCCCCCGUCUCUGUCUGUCUGCUCUCGGGAGUGGGGACAGGACAACCUGUAGCUUGCCACCGCCGGGCAACUUACCCGCAGCAAACUCUCUGCAUUAGCCGCCAGCCCAGCAAUCUC